GAUGAACGCUAGCUACAGGCUUAACACAUGCAAGUCGAGGGACCGGCGCACGGGUGAGUAACACGUAUCCAACCUUCCCUUUACUCGGGGAUAGCCUUUCGCAAGAAAGAUUAAUACCCGAUAUAAAGGAUGGGGAUGCGUUCCAUUAGGUUGUUGGUGAGGUAACGGCUCACCAAGCCUUCGAUGGAUAGGGGUUCUGAGAGGAAGGUACCCCAGAAUGGAACUGAGACACGGUCCAAACUCCGACGGGAGGGAGGAGUGAGGGAUAUUGGUCGAUGGGCGCUAGCCUGAACCAGCCAAGUAGAGUGAAGGAUGAAGGGUUAUGGGUCGUAAACUUCUUGUAUAUAAGAAUAUGUAUUAUAUGAAUAAGGAUCGGCUAACUCCGUGCCAGCAGCCGCGGUAAUUC
rnacentral:rRNA from 1 species